AUUGAACGCUGGCGGCAUGCUUUACACAUGCAAGUCGAACGGCAGCGCGGGCUUCGGCCUGGCGGCGAGUGGCGGACGGGUGAGUAAUGCAUCGGAACGUGCCCAGUAGUGGGGGAUAGCGCGGCGAAAGCCGGAUUAAUACCGCAAACGACCUGAGGGCGAAAGGGGGGGACCGGAAGGCCUCGGGCCAUUGGACGGGCCGAUGACGGAUUAGCUAGUUGGUGGGGUGAAGGCUUACCAAGGCGACGAGCCGUAGCUGGUCUGAGAGGACGACCAGCCACACUGGGACUGAGACACGGCCCCGACUCCUACGGGAGGCAGCAGUGGGGAAUUUUGGACAAUGGGGGCAAACCUGAUCCAGCCAUGCCGCGUGCGGGAAGAAGGCCUUCGGGUUGUAAACCGCUUUUGUUCGGGAAGAAAUCCUCUGGGCUAAUACCCCGGGGGGAUGACGGUACCGGAAGAAUAAGCACCGGCUAACUACGUG
rnacentral:rRNA from 1 species